rnacentral:rRNA from 1 species
AUUGAACGCUGGCGGCAGGCCUAACACAUGCAAGUCGAGCGAGCGGCGGACGGGUGAGUAAUGUCUGGGAAACUGCUUGAUGGAGGGGGAUAACUACUGGCAACGGUAGCUAAUACCGCAUACCAUCGGAUGUGCCCCGAUGGGACUAGCUAGUAGGUGGGGUACCGGCUCACCUAGGCGACGAUCCCUAGCUGGUCUGAGAGGAUGACCAGCCACACUGGAACUGAGACACGGUCCAGACUCCUACGGGAGGCAGCAGUGGGGAAUAGUGCACAAUGGGCGAAAGCCUGAUGCAGCCAUGCCGCGUGUGUGAAGAAGGCCUUCGGGUUGUAAAGCACUUUCAGCGGGAAGGCGUUACCCGCAGAAGAAGCACCGGCUAACUCCGUGCCAGCAGCCGCGGUAAUAC